GAAACGCGAUAAGUAAUGUGAAUUGCAGAAUUCAGUGAAUCAUCGAAUCUUGAACGCACAUGGCGCCUUCCAGUAUCCUGGGAGGCAUGCCUGGCCGAGGGUCGUUUCAAACCUCGAGCCCCCGUGGCCCGGCGUUGGGGAUCUGCCCAGGCAGUCCCCGAAAAACAGGGGCGGACCCGUUACCGGCCCUUCCUUUGCGUAGUAAUACUGCCUCGCAUCGGGAGCCGGCGGGCUUCCAGCCUCUAAACCCCCAGCAAGUCCGCCCCGGCGACACCAAGGUUGACCUCGGAUCAGGUAGGAAUACCCGCUGAACUUAA
rnacentral:misc_RNA from 1 species